rnacentral:rRNA from 1 species
GACGAACGCUGGCGGCGUGCCUAAUACAUGCAAGUCGAACGCACAGUUUAUACCGUAGCUUGCUACACCAUAGACUGUGAGGUGCGAACGGGUGAGUAACGCGUAGGUAACCUGCCUGGUAGCGGGGGAUAACUAUGGGAAACGAUAGCUAAUACCGCAUAAUAUUGAUUAUUGCAUGAUAAUUAAUUGAAAGGUGCAAUUGCACCACUACCAGAUGGACCUGCGUUGUAUUAGCUAGUAGGUGAGGUAACGGCUCAACUAGGCGAAGAUACAUAGCCGACCUGGGAGGGGUAACCGCCCACCCGGGAACUGGACAAGGGUCAAAACCCCUACGGGGGGAGGCGGAGGGAAAUCUUGGGAAUGGAGGAAAGGCUUAACGGGGCAACGCCGCUUGGUGAAGAAGGGUUUCCGAUUGUAAAGACCCGUUUUAAGGGAAGAAAGGGUGGGAUAGUGGAAAGUGCACGUUGUGACGGUACCUAAUCAGAAAGAGACGGCUAACUACGUG